rnacentral:rRNA from 1 species
UUGCCAGCCCGCUCCAGAAACUCAAAGGAAUUGACGGGGCCCGCACAAGCGUGGAGCAUGUGGUUAAUUCGAAGCAACGCGAAGAACCUUACCAGGCCUUGACAUGCAGAGAACUUUCCAGAGAUGGAUUGGUGCCUUCGGGAACUCUGACACAGGUGCUGCAUGGCUGUCGUCAGCUCGUGUCGUGAGAUGUUGGGUUAAGUCCCGUAACGAGCGCAACCCUUGUCCUUAGUUACCAGCACGUUAAGGUGGGCACUCUAAGGAGACUGCCGGUGACAAACCGGAGGAAGGUGGGGAUGACGUCAAGUCCUCAUGGCCCUUAUGGGUAGGGCUUCACACGUCAUACAAUGGUCGGUACAAAGGGUUGCCAAGCCGCGAGGUGGAGCCAAUCCCAGAAAGCCGAUCGUAGUCCGGAUUGCAGGCUGCAACUCGCCUGCAUGAAGUCGGAAUCGCUAGUAAUCGUGGAUCAGCAUGUCACGGUGAAUACGUUCCCGGGCCUU